UACAUUGAGUGAGGCUAAGCCGUUCAGGCGAUCUUCAGACAUUGUUGAUCUCAAAUACGUUUUCAGUCGUCGCAAAGUUGAGAAGGAUCGUUCAUUCGUCGCUGUUGUCACAGGCAAAACUGCCAUCACGCGAAGCAUCUGGUUAACAUUUGGAAACGCAUCUUCAUUACAAAUAUCGAGUGCUUCAAAUUUCACGGGAAUCGUCGCGCAAAAUUGAACAGUAUGGUUGGAAUAGUUGAGCGCAGGACUCUUCCUCGAAAAUUUGCAUUUUGUUGGGAAAAAG